GGAAAAGAAAAGAAGGAGAGAGAGGAAAAAAAAAGCCUCCACACACUUCAGGACAGCAUUGAACUGGUGUGUCUGAGUUUCACUCCAGGAAAUGAGCAGGGAUCCAGGGAAGCAUCCCACAUGUUCAGAGCAGGGCUGCUGGUGUUCCUGCUAAUCUCGAUCCUCUGCUAUGAAUGUAACUGUUGCUUCACAAGGGACGGAAGAUCACUGCUUCAAACAGAGAUCUGGCCUCUAGAUUGCAGUUCAUUACACCCCCAUGUACAGGAAUGAGGACUCAUCUCCUGAAAUGGAAAGACAAAUGGAAAAAAUGCUGAUCUUAUUUAAGAAUGUCAAUGAGAGCGAGAGCAUUGUGGUAUUAAAAUAAAUAGAAUAAUGCUUUUUA